rnacentral:rRNA from 1 species
UACGAAGGGGGCUAGCGUUGUUCGGAAUUACUGGGCGUAAAGCGCACGCAGGCGGCUUGGUAAGUCAUCGGUGAAAUCCCUCGGCUCAACCGGGGGGGGUCCGGCGAAACUGCCAGGCUUGAGGUCGGGAGGGGGAAGCGGAAUUCCGGGUGUAGUGGUGGAAUGCGUAGAUAUCCGGAGGAACACCAGUGGCGAAGGCGGCUUCCUGGCCCGAAUCUGACGCUGAGGUGCGAAAGCGUGGGGAGCGAUCCGG